AGAUACCCCACUAUGCUUAGCCCUAAACCUAGAUAGUUAGCUCAAACAAAACUAUCCGCCAGAGAACUACUAGCAACAGCUUAAAACUCAAAGGACUUGGCGGUGCUUUAUAUCCCUCUAGAGGAGCCUGUUCUAUAAUCGAUAAACCCCGAUAAACCUCACCAUCUCUUGCUAAUUCAGCCUAUAUACCGCCAUCUUCAGCA
rnacentral:rRNA from 1 species